rnacentral:tRNA from 1 species
ACCUGGGUGACUCAGUCAGUUAAGUGUCUGACUUCGGCUCAGAUCACGAUCUUCACAGUUUGUGAGUUCGAGCCUCACAUCGGGCU